UCGAGUGGUCCCGAGCGUUGUUCGGAUUCACGGGGCGUAAAGGGUGCGUAGGUGGUCGGGUAAGUCUGGUGUGAAAUCUCCGAGCUCAACUCGGAAAUGGCAUUGGAGACUAUUCGGCUGGAGGGUUGGAGGGGGGACUGGAAUUCUUGGUGUAGCAGUGAAAUGCGUAGAUAUCAAGAGGAACACCAGUGGCGAAGGCGAGUCCCUGGACAACGCCUGACACUGAGGCACGAAAGCUAGGGGAGCAAACAGG
rnacentral:rRNA from 1 species